rnacentral:rRNA from 1 species
UGCCAGCCGCCGCGGUAAUACGGAGGGUGCGAGCGUUGUUCGGAAUCAUUGGGCGUAAAGCGCGUGCAGGCGGCUUGGCAAGUCGGAUGUGAAAGCCCGGGGCCCAACCCCGGAACUGCAUUCGAAACUGCCUCGCUAGAGUCCCGGAGAGGAGAGCGGAAUUCCCGGUGUAGAGGUGAAAUUCGUAGAUAUCGGGAGGAACACCAGCGGCGAAGGCGGCUCUCUGGACGGUGACUGACGCUCAGACGCGAAAGCGUGGGGAGCAAACAGGAUUAGAUA